rnacentral:lncRNA from 1 species
GCCCCGGGCCCUGUGGUCCCGGGAUGAGCUCUCCGCGCAGCCAGGCUCGCUCCAGUGCCCGCCCAGCGCUGACUUCAUUGGCUGCCUCCCCAGUCCCGCCCCCAGGGGGGCCCUGCUGAUGUUCGUAGCCAAUCCGCAGGCGCGGUGGCAGCUGCGGGUCGCGGGUCGCGGGUCGCGAGUCGCCGGUCGCCGGUCGCGGCGGAGCCUGGGCGCUGAGAAGGGACUUGGAGGGAAGCGGGCCUGGAGCUGCUGCCGCCGCCCCUGAGCUCGGACGCGAAGGCUGGCCCCGUCCCCGGGCUGCCGCCGUGGUCCUGCAGGUUGCAGAUAUCAAGAAAGUCAACAACUUCAUCAGAGAACAAGACUUAUAUGCUUUGAAAUCUGUUAAGAUUCCAGUGAGAAACCAUGGGAUCCUGAUGGAGACCCACAAAGAACUGAAACCCCUUCUGAGCCCGUCUUCCGAGACCACAGUGACCGUGGAACUGCCAGAGGCAGACAGAGCAGGCGCGGGCACCGGUGCCCAGGCCGGCCAACUGAUGGGCUUCUUUAAGGGG